AUGCAGUUAUCCAGAAACCCAAAACAGUUUGGAGGGGUCCUUAACUAUAUGAUGCAUUACUUGUCGUCUGACGCUGUCAUGCACAGACACUUCUUAGGGUCACCCAGGACAGCAGGGAUUCAUCAGUGGAGGACUGGCGGAGCAGGACAGACCAUGGGAGAGUGGAGACUGCUUCAUAUAGCUGGGAAGAGAUGGAACCCAUUCACAGGUGGCUGUAAAUCUUAACCGCGGGCAGUUAUGCACCCACACCCUCACAGACAAGCAUGACACAGACAUGCCCACGGCAGCAGGAAACACACGAAGGCUCGCCAGGACUGCCAGGGAAGGCUCCCCAGAACUGAGACAACUCAGGGCCCCCUUGCAAUUGGCCGGCCGGCAGGGGGACCCACAGCCGGGCCGGGGAGAGAGGUGAGGACCAUGGAAUGGCUGACAUGACUUCUCAGGACACCGAUCACACAGUUUCUCUCUUGGUCCGCUUUGGUUUUGCUUUUGAAGCUUGGCUACAUUAUAUUCUUGAGUCACCUAAGUAGUCAGGGAAACCAUUAAAGAAAGAUCAGAAGCAUCAAAUACUCCUGGAGGGAGGACCGAGCACAGAUGGGAGCAGUGAGCGAUGAGGGGUAAUGAGGACAUGUAACGCAGCUGGAAGGAGUGAGGACAGAAAGUUAGAAGGAGUUCCAGCUCCUUCCUAUCACAAUAAAGGAGGCUAACCCCACGUCACCGAUCCCUUCUGUCAUCUCUCUCUGUACUGAAGUCUAAGCUCUGUCCAAAAAAGAACUCCACACGGUAUUCCAAGGUUCCUAAAAGUAAUCACAACCUACAGCAAUAGCCCUACUUUAAAUGAGGAUCUUUAUCUCCUGAAUCAGAGGCUAUUUUCUGGAAGUCCAGAGGGUUAUAUGGGAAUACAAAUCUUAGAGGACUGCAGCGAAGAGUUUUAGUAAAACAUCAAGUAUGCGGAUUUGAAUAAAAAUUUGUGCGAGUCCCUUCAAUGAGACUUCUUGGUACGAACUUUGAAAUAUUCCUUAGAAUCUCCAAGGAAUUCGGCAGCACGUUUCCUGUGACGGCUCUCUCCAGCCGGUGAGGAAGGCAGGCAGGAGGCAGGCCACAAAGCACAAACAACCUCAAAACACAGAUGGGCCAUUCAGAUUCUUUUCCCACCCACAAAACCCCUGACUUGCACCUACGUCCUCAAGAUGUGACUUUUACCGGUUAGAUUCACAUCAGUGUUCAUGCCGGUAUUAAAGCAGCUUUAGCAAUAUUUUUAAAAAGAGACAAUAUUAAUGCAAUAAACAUUUACAUACAUAUAUUAUAAAUUCAGCUCAACACAGUGACGUGGCAGGAAAGGUCUCUAAUUAAAAACAUGCUGUCUCUGAUUACAGAAAACACAAGGCCGAGGAAAUAUAAUAACCACCACAGAGAUGCUAUCACUUAAAUCUAGAAUAUGGGAAAGGCUACAAAACAACAACAACACAUCCCAGUAUCUUCAACCAGCAUAUGGCAAAGGAAAAAAAAAAAAGAACAAGAAAGAGAGGGAGCUGUUCUGGAUUAAAGGAGACUUGGGAGACAUGCCAAUUAAAUGUAAUGCAUAGGCCUUAUUUGAAUCUUGUUUUGAACAGUCCAAUUAUUAAAAAAAUUUUAUGAGAUAAAAAGAAUCUGGACGGUGACUAGAAAAUAGAUGAUAUUGUAAAUGUUAUUUUUUUAGGUGUACUAAUAAUAUAGUUAUUUUUAAAAAGCCCUAAUCUCUUCGAGUUAUUUUAAAUUAUUUAUGAACGAAAUAGUAUAGUGUUUAAAAUUUGCUUUAUAACAAUCCAUGUUUUGGGGGAAGAAGUAAGGUCUACAGAUGAAGCAAGCUUAGGAUCACAUAUGGAAGGUACGUGAGACUUCACUGUAUUAUUCUGUUAACUUUUGUGUACGCUUAAAAUUUUCCAUAAGAAAAUACUUAAAAGGUAAGAUGUAUGCAUUUUGAAAAUCAAUAUGAAUAAAAAUAUAUGAACAAAUAUUGACUUAAAAAUAACAC
ensembl:lincRNA